rnacentral:lncRNA from 1 species
CGUAUGCUGGGGGGUUAGCAAUAAUUGCGUCUGCUUUGAAGGGAACCCCUGUAUCCAUAUCAGGUUCUUUGCAGGGUGAGAGUAGAGAGUAUAUAAUAUCCUUCAACUGAGCUCUCUGAGUAGGAAUCUCUGAAGGUCCGGAAGGUAAAAAUCCUUUGUUUUUAACCAUGUCUGUAUAUGCAAGAGGAAGAUUCCUUCAACUGAGCUCUCUGAGUAGGAAUUUCUGAAGGUCCGGAAGGUAAAAAUCCUUUGUUUUUAACCAUGUCUGUAUAUGCAAGAGGAAGAAAAUUGUAAUUGUCUAGUUGAAUUGCAUACUUAAUGACUUGCAAGAAUGACCAGAUGCAUCCACCAGAUACACAUUGCAAGAUAUACCAAAUACACCAGAUGCAACUACGAAUUCUG